UACGUAGGGGGCAAGCGUUGUCCGGAUUUAUUGGGCGUAAAGAGCGUGUAGGCGGUUAUGCAGGUCCGCUGUGAAAACUGGAGGCUUAACCUCCAGACGUCGGUGGAAACCGUAUGACUAGAGUCCGGAAGAGGCGAGUGGAACUCCUGGUGUAGCGGUGGAAUGCGCAGAUAUCAGGAAGAACACCGACGGCGAAGGCAGCUCGCUGGGACGGUACUGACGCUGAGGCGCGAAAGCGUGGGGAGCGAACAGG
rnacentral:rRNA from 1 species